AAGGGUUACAGGGAGGUACAGGUGCAUUUGUGGGUGUAUGGUAAUGUGGUAAAGACCACUUUACCAGUAGAUUUGAAACUUGUGUUUUAUUUUUUCAUUUUGAAUUUAUGAACUUUUUACCUUUUUAUUGAUUGUUUUGCUUGACUGGAACAAAAUAUGAGUUUUCUCUUAGUACCUAAAAAAGCAGACAUACUGACCUUACACUGUUUUUUCUUUGUGGAUAUUUUUUCCUUCCUGAUGAGCAGAAGAGAGCUUGAUGGUUUCAGAGACGCCUGCAGAACAACAGUGACGUCUUUCAGCCUUUAGAACAAUCACCAGACUGAAAAUGUAUUUGACCAGAAAUUAUCACAGCUGAGUCUGGACAGGACGUCACUCUGUCAUGUCGAGCUGCAAACAAUAACAAACCAUCAUAGUUGUGAAAUGGAGCAGACGUGACCUGAAGAAUUAUGUCUUGAUUACCGGGAUCAGCAAUUUGUUCCAGAUGAGCAGCAUCCAUCUUUUAAGAACCGGGUGGAUCUGCAGGACAGACAGAUGAAGGAUGGAGACGUGUCUUUGAUUCUGAAGGAUGUGACGACUGCUGAUAAUGGAACAUAUGAGUGCCAUGUCGUCCAG